rnacentral:SRP_RNA from 1 species
GCCGGGAGUGGUGGUGCGUGCCUGUAGUCCCAGCUACUCGGGAGGCUGAGGUGGGAGGAUCGCUUGAGUCCCAGGAGUUCUGGGCUGCAGUGCACUAUGCCGAUCGGGUGUCUGCACUAAAUUUGGCAUCAAUAUGGUAAUCUCCCGGGAGCGGGGCACCACCAGGUUGCCUAAGGAGGGGUGAACCAGCCCAGGUCAGAAAUGGAGCAGGUCAAAACUCCCAUGCUGAUCAGACUUAGAUGCUUAGCAAAAACUCAAAAAUCAAUAAUGUGGAUUUGUAAUUUC